rnacentral:rRNA from 1 species
GACGAACGCUGGCGGUGUGCUUAAGACAUGCAAGUCGUGCGGACCGUAGCAAUACGGUCAGCGGCGGACGGGUGAGUAACACGUGGAUAACCUGCCUGACUCCCCGGGAUAACAGGCCGAAAGGCCUGCUAAUACCGGGUAAGCUCACGGGGCCGCAUGGUCCUGGGAGAAAAGCUCCUGCAAGGGAGUGGGGUCAGAGGGGUCCGCGGCCCAUUAGCUAGUUGGGGGGGUAACGGCCCACCAAGGCGACGAUGGGUAGCCGGCCUGAGAGGGCGAUCGGCCACACUGGGACUGAGACACGGCCCAGACUCCUACGGGAGGCAGCAGUCGGGAAUUUUGGGCAAUGGCCGAAAGGGCUGACCCAGCAACACCGCGUGAGUGAAGAAGGCCUUCGGGUUGUAAAGCUCUGUUGCCCGUGAAGAACGGUGCUUUCAGGAAAUGGGAAGCACUUGACGGUAGCGGGUGAGGAAGCUCCGGCUAACUACGUGCCAGCAGCCGCGGUAAUACGUAGGGAGCGAGCGUUGUCCGGAUUUAUUGGGCGUAAAGGGCGUGUAGGCGGCUUUUUAAGUCUGAAGUGAAACGCCAGGGCUCAACCCUGGAACUGCUUCGGAUACUGGAAAGCUUGAGUACUCUAGAGGGCAGUGGAAUUCCGGGUGUAGCAGUGAAAUGCGUAGAGAUCCGGAGGAACACCAGUGGCGAAGGCGACUGCCUGGGGAGAAACUGACGCUGAGGCGCGAAAGCUGGGGGAGCAAACGGGAUUAGAUACCCCGGUAGUCCCAGCCGUAAACGAUGAGUGCUAGGUGUAGGGGGUAUCGACCCCCCCUGUGCCGGAGUUAACGCAAUAAGCACUCCGCCUGGGGAGUACGGCCGCAAGGUUG